rnacentral:lncRNA from 1 species
UGCCGAUCUGUUUGAAGGUGCGGAACUGAGUUAUAUAUGUGACAGCCGGAAAUUUUUGUAAGACGAUGUUGCAAGAAACAAACGAUGUGCUUAACCUAUUCUUAAAAAGCAACCACAGGAUAAACGAGCACUUUGGAAUGCACAUUUUGAAUCAAACAAGGUGGUGCCAGUGAACUUCAACAUAUUGAGGGUCUAACAAUUCAACUGCAGAUUUAAUAGAAAAGGUACCAUUCUUACUAGCCAAUCAUCUUGCCGAGUCUUGGAUGUUAACAUUCAAGGAUUGUCCAGAUGGGAGGAGCUGUACAAAAUCCUCAAUAUCAGCUGUUCUCCUUCUACCUGUGGGAAUCUUUCAAUCGCCAUUUUCUAUAAUAGAAGAGUCUCUAGCUUGUAGCUCGCUUCCAAACUGUCUUAUUGUAUCAGGACCAUAGGCUGUCAACUAAGGUACUCUAGGGUGCCAGUUAUCAUACCAGAGAAAGGUGUUCUCACCAUUAUUGAUCUUUGAAAUAAUAUAAGGAUGCACUAGAGGCCUAAGUCGAAGUAACUUUGGCCAACACCAAGAACAUGACUGAGUAAUAGGAAUAGCCCAGAAACAUUGAUGUUUGAGCUUCACACUAUGAAUCCAAUUGAUCCAAAGUGAUUCUUUCCUGCAUACUACGUCCCAAAUCAGGUACUCCUAAUCCACCUUGUUGAGCGGGUUUGCUUAUUUCCUCCAUGUUUAGCAGAGGUCUCACCUUUCCACAAGAAUGCAGGGAGCAUGGCUUCAAUAUUCUUUAUGACAGCUCGAGGUAAUACCGUAAUAAGAAUACACUACUCCAGUAUAGUUGCAUACUCAGCAGUACUGACUUUACCAGCUGAAGCCUACCAGCAGAAGUCAAAGUUUUUGGGCUCCACCACAUAAUUUUCUUUUUUUAUCUUCUCAAUAAUAGGAAAGCAGUCUUUCAAUGAAAGCUU